AAGAUUCUUCCAAGCCUUGAUUCAGCUGCGCCUUUGAUUUUCUUAUGAACUCUGAAUUCAGUGAAUUCAAAUAAACGCGGACUUUAGGAAGCUUUGAGUUGGAGCCAAACAUAGGUUAGCAUAUUUAAAGACUUUUGCAGAUACAUUAAUUCAUCCCAAAGUGUAGAUGUAUAAACUUUCAAGAGACCUAAAUGGUCCUCUCUCAUCCAGUUAUGGGCCAGAGGACCCAAGGAAUCCUUGAAACUCAGUCUCUCAGGUCUAUGUAGAUUGGCUCCCAAACCACCCAGCGUUGAAUAUCUUCAAAGGAGCCACCGCCGUACCAGUCUCCCCUCAGUGAUGCUCCAGCCACACUGGCCUCCUGAGUGUUCCUCAAAUCUGCCCAGCAGGUUAUGGUCUCGGGAUCUUCUCUGCCUGGAAUCCACUCUCUGCAUAUAACUGCAUGGCUCUCUACUCUUAUUUUCUGCGUGUCUCCUCUCAAAGGUCACCUAAACAAAGAGAAUGUCUUCACCCUUCUCUUCACCGCAUGGCUACAACCUCAGUUCAGCCUCCGUGAGGUCAACUGUCCACAUAUGCCAACUGUUGGUCAGAAGCUUCAGGGGUUUGCUCAGUUGAUAAGCUACAGAUUGACCAAAAUUGAUGUUCUCUCCUUAGGAUCUAUGGACUUAUCCGUGAGGGGCAAGAGAGUGUGACAACCUGAGCAUGCCUCAGGGGACUCGGU
rnacentral:lncRNA from 1 species